UCGUAAGUAUUGGGAGAAGGCCAUGUGGUCCACCUCAGUGCUUUGGUUGGCUUCACUGAGGAACUGGCUAUCGCUCAGUAGCUUAUAUCUUUAGUCAUCCUUUAUGUUAGCAAGUCGCCCGGCUUUACUCUCUUCGGUCGUCUCAUUAUAUCAGCGAUAUCUGUCAAUUUUUGAACUUCGUUAUUCUCAUGUGAUCGUAGUCGCUAUGCAGAUCCUCGUUACGAAUGAACCAGGGAGCGUCUACUUUGCUUCUAAGCACUUUAUUUUGGAACGUUUAUGAUGUUUGAUUCUCUAGCACAGCCCCAGAGCUACCGUACGUCCAUAUGGGGCUUAGGAUCUGUCAAAAAUUAGCAGCUUGUUGUUGAUAGUCAGCUGGGAAUUCCUCCCCAAUAGCCAGUACACCUGUCUGUAUCUGGCAUCUAGUUCGUCCUUCUUUCUUAGGAUGAGAUGAGCUUAGCAUCGAGUGUCAUACCUAAAUAUUUGACCUUACUCGUCUAUGGUAUAUCUUGUCCGUUUAUGAUGACUUUAGCUGAAUUCUCUUUUUUGUUUUUUAAGUAAAUGUACUUUGAGUUGCUUUCAUUUAA